rnacentral:rRNA from 1 species
UACAGAGGGUGCGAGCGUUGUCCGGAAUCAUUGGGCGUAAAGGGCGCGUAGGCGGCUUGGUAAGUCCGUUGUGAAAUCCCUCGGCUCACCGAGGAACUGCGACGGAUACUGCUUGGCUUGAGUCCCGGAGAGGGUAGCGGAAUUCCCAGUGUAGCGGUGAAAUGCGUAGAUAUUGGGAGGAACAUCGGUGGCGAAGGCGGCUACCUGGACGGGUACUGACGCUGAUGCGCGAAAGCUAGGGGAGCAAACAGG